ACCCCGAUAGCUCAAUUGGUCAGAGCGCGGAAUUGAAGUUUCCGAGGAAGAAGUUCGAAACUUCUUUGGGGUG
rnacentral:tRNA from 3 species